GUCAUUUAAGACGGAUAAGGUGGUCAUUUAAGACGGAUAAGGUGGUCAUUUAAGACGGAUAAGGUGAUCAUUAUCCAUUUAUGGGAGUUUGCCAAGCUCCCCUUGAUGGGAAGAUAAUUAAGACAGAUAAAGGGAUGACAUUUUCCCCACUUUCAUAAUGUGAUUACAUGAUGGUCAAAUUAAAACAAUGGGUUAAUCAUCACCCAUUGUUAUCCCUGGACACACCCAACAAAGGCUCAUUGUCAUCUUUCUUCAGCUGAAAGAAUAAACACAAUCUUAGAAUGUGCAUUUUCAGUGUUGUAAAGAAUAGGCCUGGGAGACUAGUGCGACUAGUAGUGUCAUAGUAGCAACUAUCGAUUUCUUAAUAGUCAUGACUCGACUACCGUUUUUCAACUACCUGGUUUAUCAUACCGCCACGACUACUGCAAACAAACAUAGACUCGACUACCAGUUUGGUGAACCAAUUAUGUCGCUCACGACUAUUGACAACAUAAUCUACUCAUGAAACACAAUCAAACAUCAGUGAUACAAUCCUUCAAAAACGUGAAUUUUACUAUUGCGCCUGUGGCAAACAUUAUGCCGUAAUGCGUCUUGGGAAUUAAAAAUUAGUCGCGACUAGUGAUUAUUUGAGGCGCAACUAGUCGAGAAGUAAAUUUCACUAGUUGCCCAGGCUUAGUACAGAGUCUUUGGAAGAGUUCAUUUUCUCCAAUCUUAUUUAAUAAUUCCGCUGAUCAUAUGAAAAAUAGAUAGAACAACCGGGCCUCAAUUUGGGGGUGAAAUCCACAGGACAUGCAGCUCAAAAUCUUUACUGGACCAGGACUUUAUUUACAAAACCAGAAUCAAAAUGAGAAGAGACUAGAAUCACAAUGAGAACACAGUUUUAUCAUCUUAACAGUUUUAUUUGAAAGAACACUAAGAGAGGAUUUAUCUCUUCUGUUUUGGGUGAUACUCAGCUUGAUUGAAAGUUAUUUUGUGAGACUCAAACUCAACAUUUGAACAUCAUUCUUGUGAGACAAAGAUGUUGAAUUGAGAAAGACGACCUGACUUGUCCUGUCUUAAGUUUCUGGCUUGCACUUUUUAUUCCAAACCCUUUAGAUUCCAAUAGAAAAUGUAUAAAUCACAUAAUUCUAAAUAAUAGUAGCACAACGUCCCUGCCCUAGAAUUAAAAGGUUUGUGGGUUUGAAUUCCACCCUAAAAUUAUGCCUGUCGAUUUUUAUCACAGGAAUGGGGAAAGUACUGAGAAUACAGUGCUUAUACACGUCUGUAAAUGGUAACAUAUAAUAUUAUUCCUAAUCCCAGGUGCAAAUUGAACAUCUAUCAAAAAUUUAAACCAUUGGCCCCUAAAACAGUAACUAUGUAUCAAACAAUUUCCAAUAAGAUUUAAUUUGUCACAAUACUGGAAUAAUUUUGAACUGUACAAAACAUUUUCUUGACGUGGGAUACAAAUUGAACACUAAUUCUGUGCGUACAAAGCCUGUACAGCACGGCACACUUUCGUAAUGCUGCUUAGCAGGAAAUACUGCUUACCAAAUUAUUUUGCUACUAAACAAAUGCGCAGGAUGCAACGCCACUUGUGAACUUUUUGGUAUUAUAGCUGAUAACCUGUUUCUGCUAAGCAUGAUUUUUCUGUGCUUAGCAAGUUUCAGCAGUGAAGAAGGAUCUAUAUGCACUUUUGUCAAAUCAUAUUUGUA